rnacentral:lncRNA from 1 species
ACUGGACUAAAAUCAAGCUAUGCACGGGGCAUCUUUGCUUUCUGGAGGCUCUUUGGGAGAACUGGCUUUCUUGCCUUUACCAGCUUCUGGAGACCAUUCCGUUCCUUGAUUUGCAGCCUUCAUUUUCCAUCUUCAAAGCUAGCAACACAGCAUCCCUCUGACCCUGCUUCCAUUCACACAUCUCUUUCUCUCCCCAGCUGGGGAAGGUUGUCAGAUUGUAAAGACCUAUGAGAAAAGACUGAGCCUAAGCGAAUCUCUGCAUCUCAAGCUUCUUAUCUACAUUUUCAAAGUCCCUUUGCCGUGUAAUGUAUCCUAUUAACAAAUUCCUGAGAUGAGGACAUGCACAUUUAAGGGGCACUAUUCUACCUACCUCCCCUCCUUUUUAUUCCAUUCCCAUAAAUCUACUGCUCCAGACCACCUACGAGCCUUCUUCAAAAUUUCGUGGCAUGUCCAGCCUCUAACCUCUUCCUGACAAAUGGUGAAUACUCAAUAAAUAUUUUUGAAUAAAUGAAUAAAUAUACUAAAAUACCAGGAUUUGGAAGUGUUGCUUCAUUGCACCAAAUGGACUAAUAAUGAUUGAUUCGAGGGGUAAUUGUUUGUAACAUCAUUCUAGACUCUUAAAUUGGAGGAUAAAGGUUAAUCAGUUUUCCCAGAGGAGCAGAGAUGCUUACUCGGUGUGUAGUUGAAGCAACAAGAUGUGCUCUUGCUGUACAGCUCUGGCUAAUUAGUUGACAGCAUUGCUAACGCAUGUAUUAUUGGGAAUAUUAUGGAUGCAACUGAUCUCUGCUUUAAGGGUAAUCCCUUUGGUCUGGAAUCCUUCCGGGAAAAGAGUAUUCAGAAACUUCAAGUAAGCUAAAAAACUCAAACAGAAAGCACUGGUGAAGUUUUCCUUAUAAUAAGGUUUUCUUUUUUUUCUUCUUUCAAGGGUAGACUACAUAUAAGCAAUUAGUCAGGAUGCCAGAAAAUUAGCCCCUUAUGUAUGCACAGUAAUUGAAGUCAGGGGGAAUACUGCAGAAUUGCUUCCCUGAAUUAAACUCUUGGUGUUAUCUAGCACUAGAGGGGAAAAAGUAAAGUCUGACAAUUUGGUAAAAAGUCAUUGUUUCUGGUAUUAAGCUUCACUGGGCAUGGGGUGGUGUAGGAACCCUAGAGGAGAUGGUGGAAGAAAGGUGGGCUUCUUGACACGCUGGGUAGACCUAUCUGAAUGCUGAGACUUCAGGAUGGAGUUGGAGCCAGUAGGCUCCCUGGAUACCACUACAAGCAAUUGCAACCAGUCCUAAACCAGUUUUUAGACAAAGUGUGAAAUUAGAUCAAGAACCAUCAGGGUCCGCAACAAAAUAAUACUUUGACCAGGAUUUGCCAUUUUUGUGUAGUUAAGGAAUCUCUUUUGAACAGGGAGUGAGAGAUGGUGCAGUGCUUUAGGUAGGCUUUCAAAAUGCCCCGUGUGGGAGUUCCUGUUGUGGCUCAGUGGUUAAUGAACCUGACUAGCAUCCAUGAGGAUGUGGGUCGAAUUCCUGGCCACACUCAGUGGGUUAAGGAUCCAGCAUUGCACUGGCAGCCACAGCUCUGAUUUGACCCCUAGCCUGGGAACCUCCGUAUGCCAUAAGUGCAGCCCUAAAAAGACCCCUCCCCCCCCAAAAAAAAACCUAUGUAUCUCUUCCUCUCACCUCAAGUCUCCCUAGUGUCAGGUACCUCUAGACGUUACACAAAUCCAAACAGGCAAUGGGGAAAGGCAGGUGAACUAUGAAGGGGAGACAGUGUGCCUUUAAUGGAAAACUGAGGGCACAAAUGUGGACUUCCCCAAACAGAGAUAAAUAUAUGUAUUUCUCAGCGGUACUGAAAAAUAACUGUGAACAUAACAGCAAUGUCGCUUCAAAUUACUUACUGCUUGCGUUCAGGGAGGCAAAUGUUUUAUUAAUAAACAGACGGUUAGAGCACUGUUUGUUCCCAACUCUCAGAGUCUGGGAGGGCACGGGAGGCCAAGCUGAAACCUCUGACAAGGUAAAUGAUUUACUGAUUUAAUCCGAGUGACAGAUUCGUGAUGAAAAGAGACUCAACCGCAAGGCAUCAGAGAGCAGCAGAAGGGAGGUGAGGGUAAUUUAGGAACUACGCACUCAUCCAUCACAAGCUGGCUAAUAACUAAUCAAUGACUGCAAAGCACUUGGAAGGGACUAAGUUUUAUACAAACGCUAAAUAACAAAAAUGCUGGAAUUUGGUUCAGGAUUGCAGCCAAAUCUAGCCUGCAGCCCACAAGCUGGGAAGACGAUUUUCUCAAGGAAGGGCUGGGGCGGCUCUAGGACCCUCACUUUAAACCACAACUGAUAUCUGGGAUCUAACAUACAGCACAAACAAAGCUUUCCACAGAAAAGAAAAUCAUGGACUUGGAAAAUAGACUUGUGGUUGCCAAGGGGGAGGGGGGAAGGAAUGGGAUGGAUGGGGAGCUUGUGGUUAAUAGAUGCAGACUAUUGCCUUUGGAAUGGAUUAGCAAUGAGAUCCUGCUGUGUAGCCCCGGGAACUAUGUUUAGUCACUUAUGAUGGAGCAUGAUAAUGUGAGAAGAAGAAUGUAUACAUGUGUGUGUAACUGGGUCACCAUGCUGUAUAGUAGAAAAAAUAAAAAUAAUGUAUUGGGGAAAUAAAAAAAAUAAAAUCCUUCAAUUAAAAAAAACCCAAAAAACCUCCAACUGGAUUCCCCAUGUGUUUGCUCGGAGGUGGUGGUGCAGAGCUCAGGGGCAGCUUAACUGAGCUGUAACUAGGGGUAUUUCCCUCUAGGGGGCCCUUCUACUCUCCUCAGCUCUUUGCCCCUGUUUUCAAACUGGUGGGCUUUAGGGACAAGCUUCCAUUGUUGGUAUGAAUGAAACUUCCCUGAUCAGGGGCUAACCUGGUUGUGAUGUAUCACGGUAGAGCUGUCAUAACAAAAUCCUUGUAAAGAUAUUCAGCAUUUGCUACCAACAUAAACACUGCCUCCCGCAAAAGGCUUUGCCUUCCUAUAGACCCCUGCCCCUUCCCCUAGGAACAAGACCUCACCGUCUGGUCAUUCUUCAUCCUGUGACAGCUCUUCGAAUAGAAAAACAUAACACACUUUUGAUUCCCCAAAUCCCAUCUUAGGACUUUUGAUACUUCUCCACCUAUGUAGUUGUUACUCUACUUGUUUUGUUUAUUUAUUUAGAAAAAGACACAUAGCUCCUCCUCUUUAGGAAAUUUAUUUACCAGGGUGUCAGUCUGUCCAUUUUAGACUUCGCAAUGAAUUCCUAUUGUGCAAACAGCUGUAGCCACCAGUAUUGCAAGAGUGUAUUCUUAAGCAAACAGCAACAUCUCUGGAAUGUUUGUGCAUAAAUAUUAAUUAGGAAGAGAAACAAGACAGCAAUGAAACAGUGUCUAUUAAUUAUUUUUGGCUCAUUUUCAAAUUUGUUACAGUUUAUCUGACUUUCUUUUUCGAAAGCUCUCAGAACAGUCUAUCUUAGCCUAUUUAUGCACUGAAGGUGUCUGAAAGUCAGGGGCUAAAUUUAAUGGUAAAUCCUUCGUAGAAGGAAUUUUUUUCUUGUUCAUCUGGGUCCAUGGUGAAGGCAGAGAGAAGUUCUUAUAAUUCCCCCUGUUUUGGCCAGAUGGUUCUUUCUCCUGGACAAGUGUUUGGCGAUUCCCAGGACUUCUGGGCUCUAAUUGGGGCUUUUCCCCAACAGUCAUUGACUCAAAACUUCCCAGAGUCUUGUGGUGUUUAAGAGCUCAGAGAAUUCCCAUGGAAGGGACAAAAAUAAAGAUUCUUAGUCAUUCAGACGAGUUUACCUGGGAAUAUCCUUUCUCUGCAGCACAGUCAAUAGCCAGAAGCAGAACUCAAUGUUCUCUGAGCAGCGAGAUGAGCUCCCAGAGUGAAUUCCCAAGUUAAUUGUACAUUUUAUUUGGCAACGUUCUAACCAGUUUGAUUAUUUUUCUAUUUUUUUCCCCAAUCUGUUUAUUUAUUGAUUUGAGCCCAUGGAAGAUUAGAAGUAAAAUAUGAAGUAGAUAAAGACAGUGCAGCUGCUAGAGACAGACAGAGGCCACGAGUGAUCCCUGGUGGAAAGCUGGGAUGGGAAUUAAGGAGACACAGCAGAUCGGAAGUCCAUUGCUCAACCAUUGAGGACACAGGGACAGAAACCCACACGGCUCCUCCCCCUUCAGAGACCUCACCAGAGAAGAGUCCACGUUCAGAACCACCGCCUUGUAUCCUCAAGAACAGAAUCAACUUAGCUCACAAGAGAAGAGUUCCAAAGGAAGAAUUGCAAAGGAAGUAAUGUGCAGCCACAUGUAAUCAAAGAAAUGCAAACCCAGGAGUUCCCAUCGUGGUGCAGUGGAAACGAAUCCGACUAGGAACCAUGAGAUUGUGGGUUCUAUCCCUGGCCUCGCUCAGUGCGUUAAGGAUCUGGCAUGGCCGUGAGCUGUGGGGUAGGUCGCAGAC